ACACACACACACACACACACACACACACACACACACACACAAACAGUGUAUGGAUGAGCAGACUUCUCAGUUUUUAUUCUCAGACUGAGGGAAAUACACAACAGGAUCCAGCAGCUUCUUCUACUCUGACAAUAAGUUAUUCUCUAAGCUUGUAGGAUUCAGUCAUAUUAAAUCCUUGAAGGGUAAGCUCUCAGCUGUGGCGACUUCACCCUAAAACAUGUCUGAUUUUAAAUUCCUAAUCCAGUAAUGAAAGCGGCUGUUGCAUGCAUGAACCAUGUUGAAUAUUUGCCUUCAAACCUAUUUUAUUUCUCAUCACACUGAAUGUCAGAAAAUUCUUCAUCCCAGUGUUUUAAUGUCUUAAUAACCCUGACCUUUCCCUCUGUCCUAUCAGAUGCCACAGAAGAAUCAAUGUACUGGUUGCUGAUUGAGUAACUGAUAUGGAUUUUGUCGGUCUGCUGGUCUCUGUGGUCACCACAGAGCAGAUCGUGAUGGAGGAAGCUACAGUGUUUGUACGUCUCCCACUGACCUUGGAUUCUUAUCACUAAAAAACACUUCCUGCUGACUCUCCACAAUGGCACAUCAAAAUGACUCUAAGUGUAAGCAGUAUAGACAGAGACGGUCACACAGCAGCUGUAUGUACAUCCUAAUAAAGGCUGUUUGUUUAAUCUACUCUAUAUUGAAGUAGCUGUGAUCAACAGUGUGCUGAAACAGCGGCAUCUAAUAUGCAGUUCAACAUCAAAGUUUUAGCUCCAAAAUGUGAGGCUUCCCUUUUCCUUUUGACCCUUGACCUUUAGGAGUGUUGAUAGGACAGAAACUGUUGCUACCUACUUCCCUGUGUUUCCUCUUUUUGUGUAAUCUGAUUGUAUUUGUCCUUGUUUUCUUUUGGAACAGAUAAAAACAUCUUUCCCUCCUUUGAUUUUAGAUUAAUAGAAAGCACAUGAUGUUUGUUGUUAGUGUUCAUGUUGGUCUAUUUCGGUCCAUUUUAGCAUAAAAAAUUAAUAUUAACUACAUGGGGGCAAAUGGUAAAUCAAAUUGUGGCAUCAAACGUAUUUUUAAAAUUAGGGGUUGAGAGUUGAUUCCUCAUUAAGGCACCAAGCCAAAUAAAGAAAAUGAAUAUAAAUAACAAAAACAAAGGCAAGAAAACACAAGAUGUUUUUAUUGUGACAGACAAGUCAAAAAGCUCAAGUAAAACACAAACACGACUACUCAGUGUCAAGCUGAAUAUCGUCACGAUGAAAAUCUGAGCCUCCAUCUCAUUCGAGUUUCACGGUUUUGCUUUGUUACCUGCCGAAUGUUGCUGUGAUUUUUCUUUAACCCCCCCUCGUCUCGUUCAAGUGUUUGCCUUUGCUGUCUUAAGUAAACUGACUCACAGGUCACCGUGAAGUGGAAGCUUUUUCCAUCUCUCUGGGAAAGAUUGUUCUGUAUUUGCAUAUUCAGGCACUUUGUUCAAGCAGGGUAUUUACUUAGUUGCAAAGACAAACAUAACAAAGCUCUGGUUGUCAUUUCAGUUUACUGUGGGACUAACAGUUCUGUACUCUAAGGGAACAAACUUUAUGGGUAUAUUUUAGGAGCCAAAUCUGUUUAAUUAGGGAAUAAUGUGGGCUGCUAGUCCGACUGAGUCUGAAAUUCCCUGUUUGAGUUUGUCAAAAUAAAACAUAAAAGAAUAGAGCAGUGGUUUAUGAGGAGUACGAUGUAAAAAAAAAUACUCACAAGUCUUAUUAUGAAUUAUUAUUCAUAAGUUACUCUUUUUAUUACAGCUCAUUGGCAGUCAUGCUGAUUCUGGAUGGCACCAGUGACAAAGAAACUGAGACUGGGAGUUUGAUUGCAAUAUUUAUCUUGAGAUAAAUGUAAACUCAUCCAAUCAGAAGCCUUCAGCUGUUGGAGAGACAACUUCUGCAUAAUAGAGUUUGCACAAAUGUGUUUUUUUAUUUAUUUAUUUAUUUAUUUUCUCUGGCACCCUAUUCCAGACUAUUACUCUAAAUGCACACAGUCUGAACCUCAGUGAGACACUCUCAUCUUCAUGAGGCAGUCACUGAGAUGUGUAGAGUGGGGUUCAGAGGGAGACGGGGUCUGUGGCUGACAGCAAGGCAUUUUGUAUGAAACCAAGCAGCACACACACACACACACACACUCGAUGCCACACAAAUAUGUUUGAACAGACACACUCAAUGACACCUGCACUGACUCACAAACAAAUGCUGAGGCUUAUAGUGACAGAUGAGGUCAUGUGCAUGCAUAGGCACACACAAACACACAGCAGAGCUCUUGAGUUGAUCAGAGACUGUUAACAGUGUCACCUAUCUCCCAAGCUCAAACCCCCCAGGAGAUGGCUCUCUGUCACUGAUGCCGCUCUGCAGACAGUCUCACACAGCCCCUGUCUGUUAGCUGUGUGUGUGUGUGUAUGUGUAUGUGUGUGUAUGUGUGUGUGUUUGCACGUUUGUCUAGGAAAGCUGGGGGAAUAUUCCCCCCCUGUGGAAAGCGUGUACUAUCCCGUCACACUCUGCUAGCGUGGGAGGUAUAAAUCCAACAAGCACAAAAGCAUCGAUCACAUCAUUACCAUUAAACUGCUAGUGAUGCAAAGAGUAAACAUUUCAAACAUCGUCAUUAUUAAUGCUGUCUUUUGAAAAAGCUGUCAGAGUCGACGUUAAAUGCAGAGAACAACAUCUUUCCCAGAGCUGCAGUACAAAGCGUCUAAUUUUACAUCUUGUUUUACAGUUUUGACUACAAAAACUAAAGAAGCGAGCUGGUUGCCGUUAACAUAACAUUGUUUCCCAGCUGAGAAGGACAUAAUUCUUUUCAUCUCUCACAAGGCCCAGAGAAUUGUGUAUUUUAUGCACAAAGCAACAAAGAAAUAGCACAGACUCUUGUAGUCCCUCUGUUUUGACAUCUCCAGGCAGAAUGCCACAGCUGAGCUAAUGGUGUGGUAAGCGAUAAAAUGUAGGUUUAUGAGGGAUUAGUCAGCUGUGUGUGUGUGUGUGUGUAACAGACACACACAUACGCACACACACAUACAAGCCGGUGCACCCAGGCACACAACAUUCCCCAAGUUUAGUGAUGCAUUAGUGGUGUUUACGACAGCUUUGAGUGGAGCUUACCCCGUGCUUCCUCAACCCCCCUCUGCACACCCCAGACACCAGCCCCACUGAACACACAGCAGCAGCAGCAGCAGCAGAGACAGGGGUUUAGUUAAGGAGUCUCACAAAGACACAGUCACAGAUGGUUAGGUCACCGAGAUUUUUUGAGGGGUGGGUGGGGGUGAGGGUGUAUUGUAUAGAUGUACUGGGUUUGCCGCUCUGCAAUACUUUGUGGUCUGUCAGGAUUCUGUAAAGAUGGAUAUAUAUAUAGAGAGAGAAGAAACAAGAAACAUGUUAAAGUCAGGAAACAAGUCAGUGAGGUGCUGAUAAAGAGAAGGAGAAGGAGGAGGGUAUGAAGUGUCAACACAAUGAUACUUAAAAGAUGAAAAUCUGCAGAGAAAAAGAGGGGCGGGGUAAUCUGGAUAAAGCGGGUGACAGAGCCCUCCUCUGAACUCAGACUGCUGGUACCCUACUCGCUGAGGGGCAGAGGGUGAAACAACAUCAUGCAGAGAUUACAGGCCAUCUCUGCAAAAGUCUUCUCUUAAAAUCAUCCUUUUGAUAUUCACAGAAAGAUACAUGUAGAAGCCGUUUUUUAGUUUAUGUCAAAAUCUUAUUUUUAAGCAAACAAAUAAAAGUCUCAGUUUAUAUUAUUAAUAGUAAAGACCAAAAACAAAAGAUAUUAAAGUAGUUAAAUGGGUUUGUUUGUGUUGAUUAGUAGAUUCAGACGUGCCUGUCUAGAGGAGGUGCGCAGGUCAGUUUUUUGUUUGAUCCAGGUCGAGAUGAGCAGCACAAACAUGUUUUUUUGGCUGUGAAACGGGAGCUUUUUGAUAUUUUGUACAGUUUUUGAGUUGUGAGCUCCACGGAACCCACAAUCUGUGAAAUAAACGGAACAACCACAGACCUGCGAGUAUUGAAGUCAUUUUAUGAAUGAAGGUGGACAAGCGUCAGGACAUCUGUGGGGCUCGUCUCAUCCAAAGGGUUUCUAAAAAAUGUUAGAGAGGAAUCUGCUUCUACAAUACAGCUUACCUAAAAAAAGUACAGAAGCACCAAUAGUCGGGCUGCAGCUGCACAGCAACCUAAAAAAAGGACCUGUAACUGUUUGAGAAAUCAAGCACGCUUCAAUACUAGCAAGAACUGCGUCUUUAGUAGCAAGAGGAAUACUUUUGAAAAUGUAUUUUAUAAACUAGUCCUUUCUAAGUCUGUAGCCUAGACCAGAAUUUGCAGAAGCAGAGAAGAGAAGAUAGGGGAAAUGAAGAGUCCCUGAGUGAGAUGUGCAUGGAGAAUGAAUUUAUGGUAAGUAGAACAGAAUUGACUUUCCAAGUUUGCACUACAUUAAUCUUUACUACAUGCAUUAUUGAUCUAUUAUCAAACUCUCAAAUAGCUAGCAUUUAACAGGGGCACCAGCAUUUCUAAUCAGGCGGUUGACGGCUGAGAUUGUUUAGUGGUCCUAGCCUGGAGCACUUAUUAUACAAGUCCGUGUUCAUCUCCACAGAGUCUCAUUUACUGUAACAUAUUUGAGCAUUAUAGAAGAAAAAGGGGAAAAAAAGUCUCAGCUUUGGGCUCUGAGGGAAUUCUCUCGUCUGUCUGAAGUGUUUUAUUUUAUUUUGUCCUUGCUAAAUCAGUGUGUGUUUGUAUUUUAAAGCGGGCACCUCAUUUCAGAGUUAUGCUUUAAUCUAACGUGGAGGUUAUUUUGAUCGUGCAUGAAUCGUUUUGAAGACAAGCCACUCAUCUAGAGAGGAAUUCAUACUGUAUCUGCUUUUCCCUCAUAAACAUCCUCAGUGACAGAUUAAUCCUGGUGUCUUUAUGAUGGACUUUUUUGUGUUUGAAAGACAAUCUGUGUUUCUCCCUCUCACACCCACACACACACACUUAAACAGAGGAAUCUUCUUAAAUCUAUACUAAUCCAUUAUCCUCUGGGUGUGGUGGUUCUGUCUCCUGUCAGUGGGAGGGAUCAGUGUGUGUGUGUGUGGUUUACUGUACUGACGUUUGCAUUAAUAGGAAUGCAUAAACUACGUGCAAUUUACAUACAGGAAAAACAUUAAUUUCCCUUUAAGUCCUCAUACUAAAUGGGUGUCCUGAUUUUCCUGUUGGACACAUGACCUCUCUGAACUCAAAAGUAAUAUAAAAACAAAGCCAGAGCGAAAAAUGAGACCAAAAAUUCAAUUACCGUGUGUUUGACUCCAGCGAUGCUUGAAUGAGGAAGCAUCUGUUGCGGCGUCUACAGCAGAGAAACACCAAUCAAAGAUGAUUAUGAUGUUGACAAAGUCACCCUGCAGAUUGCUCUUAUUCAGCCUCUGAAAAACAUUCAUUCUGGUUCACUUUUACAGAAGUUUGUGCGCUUGGAGUCAUGCCUUUAGGACUGAGAGCAGUGUAAAUUAUUUCUAAGACUUUUUUGGUGUUUAAUGAGGUCAAAUACACAAAUUAUUCAUCAGCUGAUCUCUAACAGUUUACUGAACACUGAAAAUCCUCCUCUGAA